AAAGAAGGAAUAUUAUUUAUAUUGUGACUUUUCUUAUCAGGAGUUGCCUUGAAUACUACCAUGGAUCAACUAUUCAACUUGGUUUCCACCUCUGUAAUAGAUGGAGACUGUUCAGGAGACAUCCAUAAAAAUCUGCAGGGUAUAAUGACAGGUAGGAAGUGAUGGUGGUAGUUUCUGUAAGGUGUUCAGUACCAUGGAGAAAGCCUCUCCUAUGAAUAGAAACUCAUAGGAUCUGAAAACUAGAAUGACUCUUGCCCUCAUUGUGCAGAAAAAAAAAAACAUGAAGGAUUUGUUUUAGAACCAACUAGCACUUAGGGGUAAAGCUGGGAGGUAAACGAGGGUCUUCUGACUUCAAAUCUAGGCUUCUUGCUACUACACAAUGAGGGCUUAAUCCUGAAGUGUGUGGGGGGUGUCCUUUACCUAGGUCUUUUAUCUUUUAUCAACUCUAUCCUCAGGAAGGCUUUGACAUGAAGAAUAAGACAAGACAUCAACUUUUGAGCAGCUGCUAGUUUAAAAGAGCAGCUUUUUUUUUUACCUGUAUGAGUCUAUGGUGUGAGGUUGAGACACAGUCCUGCCCUUGGGGGAUCCUUUAGUCAGAGGGAAGAGCCAUACCUGUACCAUUGAGCCAAUCCUGGCCUAACAAUAUAGACCUCAUUUCAGAGGGUCCCCAGUUUAAGGGAAGAGAUUUGGCACCUGGCUGAGAUAGAAUCCAGGGAUGACAUUAUGAGCAUAAAAGCAGAGAUAGGGAGCAAUUUUUUUGUUUUUUUUUUCCUUAAAACUCUUGAGGACUACCCUAACAGUCUCAGGUGCUAUGUCCUCCAAGAGCAUUUGACAGAAUUUCCUAGGUGAAGAUCCUGUGUGAGGUCUAGAGUGAUCUGGCCAGGAUGCUGACAUAGCCAGUCAGGGCAUAUCAGGAUGCAUAUAAAGUCCAGAAGGAUGCUUUCACACUUUGCUUUCCACAGUUUUUUCCCCCACACUUCUUGUCCUACCUUUUUUUAGACUAGCUGAAUUCCUGGGCAAAGGGCUAUGACACAGAGCCAAUCAGUCAGCAUUUAUGGAGCCCUCAGAGGGGGUAGAGACUGAUACAUCCUCUUUCUGGCCACAGGGAACAAAUAUUUUUCUGAAGUUGCAACUUUGACUCACCAGAUGAUCGGGAAGUUACACCAGACCUCUCAAGAUGAACAGAGACACUUCAUUCAGGACUUGGUGGAAUAGACCUUCUAGCAACAUUUGGUCAAAGAGAGUAAGAAGAAGGCAUCUUUCCUAACUUUCUUCUGGAAGACCAUGGACUGUAUCUUAAGAUGGAAGUGGGGAACAACAAAUAACUUUCUGUAUAAGUAUGGUAAGGGCUUUUUAGCAUCGCAGUAUUUGAGUAGGAAAGGACUGGAGUGGUCACCAUUAUCCAGGUUAGAUCUUGACAGCUGCAUAUCAUCACCGGGAAGUGGUUAUCCCCUUUCUGCUUGAAGAUCUUCAGCGAUAGUGAGAACAUCCUGAGAUGGCCCAUUGUAGUUGGGACGAGUAUCUUUGUUGUGCUGUGUCAUAUCAACAUGCAUUUGGCAACACUGAGGAUACACUUCCUACACAUCAGGAAACUAUGUAUUUGAUGGAUGCUGGCUUGGCUAUUAACUCUGCCUUUCUCUGGUCCUGCCCCCCAUUCGGAACACUGAUAUCGUCCUGUCCUUUGACUUCAGUGAAGGGGAUCCAUUUGAGGCCACAGAAAAGUACUGCAAAGCCUGCAAUAUUCCCUUCCCUCUGGUGGAUGACGCUAAGCUCGACCAAGAAGCCAAGGCUCCCUCUGACUUGUACAUCUUUGAAGGGGAGAAUGCACCAGUGGUCACGCACUUCCCACUUUUCGAUAAAGUGAAUUGUGGCAGUGAAGAGGUCAUUGAGCAGAGACACAAGACAUAUCCGACAUUCCACCUCACUAACUACUGUGAUGACAAGGUGUGUCAACUCCUGGAGGAUUCGAAGGCAAAUGUCAGAAACAAUAAAGAUACUAUCCUCAUGAAGAUCCAUGAAUGGACAGAGGCACCUUAGGAAGCAGCCUCACUAGCUUCUCCCCUCACAGAGCACACACAUCCUGGGACUGGCUUCUGUUCCCUGACAGCAGCUACCAUUCCUUCUGCCCCUUUGGGAGAGGCACUCAUUCACCUUCUCAGUUAAAUGCUUCAAGUGGCUAACUUUUGUUUUAGGGCCCCAGCACUUUGCUUUGUACCCUCAUGCUUCAUGCAACUUAACCACAUUCUACUUACCCUUUUCCAGGCCUAAUAAAAUGUUGACUUGCCUUCCAGGA